AUAAAGUUUGAAUCUGGCUUUCGUUUUGUUUUAAAUUAAAUCUAUAUAUCACUAAGAAAUUUUAAGAGUAGUACUAGUAGUAGAUAAUCUUAGGAAACAAUUGUAUUUGGACCUAGUUAAAUUUAUAAGAUUGACUAAAAUCGUGCCAGCCGUCGCGGUUAGACGAAGAAUCUAAAUGAAAUAAUUUAUUAUUCAAUUAACAGUAGAUAAGUUAGAGUAAAUUUAUUUUCUUUCUUAGGUGAAAUUUAUAUAAGGGGAAAAAAUAUCUUUAUUUAUUUGAAGGGAUUGUUAAGUGAAGACUUAAAACCAGGAUUAGAUACCCUGUUAUUCUUCAUUAUAUUUAAUAGGGUAGUAAAAGUUAUUCUUCAAACCCAAAGAUUUUGGCGGCAUUCUAACCAAACAGAGGAGCUUGUCUUAUAAUCGAUAACCCCCGUUUUAUCUUACCUUUAUUUGUUUAGCUUGUAUACCUCCGUUGUCAGAUUACUCUAAAAGGAUGUUUUCUAGAAAAAUUAUUUUUUUACUUCAGGUCAAGGUGCAGUUUAUAUAAAGGGAAUGGUGAGCUACAAUUCUAAUAAGAACACGGAUUUUAAUUUAAAUUUUGAUUGAAGGUGGAUUUGUUAGUAAAUUUAUUUUAGGAAAAUAAAUCGAAUAAGGCAAUAGAAUGUGUACAUAUCGCCCGUCACUCUCCUUUUAAGAGGAGAUAAGUCGUAACAAAGUAGAUGUACUGGAAAGUGUAUCUAGAAAGUG